rnacentral:piRNA from 1 species
UCUAUAUUGUCUGCCUUUAGGUCUACUGCC